GACCCGGCCUGCGGUGGAGACGCCGGAGGAGGAGGAGACCCGGCCUGCGGUGGAGACGCCGGAGGAGGAGGAGACCUCCGUCCGUGGUGGUGACGGCAAAGGAGGAGACCCCCCCUGGCCCCCCGCGGAGAUGCCGGAGGAGGAGGAGGAGGAGGAGGAGGAGGAGGUGACCCCGGAGGAGGAGACCUCGCUCUGCCGUGGAGACACCAGAGGAAGAGGUGGGGACCCUGGCCCGCGGUGGAGACGCCGGAGGAGGAGAGGUUCUCUCCGGCUCGCGGCCUGUGAAUGGAAACGCACUGUGGGCAGAGGCCGCAGCCUGUGAAAGACCCUCGAGGCAGACGGGCUUGGUUUUCCUUCUCACUCAGCUCUUCAGCGGCUCAAACCUCAUUUCAAACUGGAAGUCCAAAGAUUUGCCGGGCAGUCAUUUACAUGUCACCAGUUUAAAAUAGAAUCAUGUCGAAAGACAAUAUAGCAGGGAAAACAUUGUCUCCUAUCACCCACCACCUGGAAACGUCAGAUAAACUUCAGCUGUCUCUUGAGGUGUGGCUCUUGAAGAUUGCAGGGUUUAGCUUUUAAUGGCCCAAAAGAGCACAAAUGAACACUGGAGUCGCCUAUGCAGGGGUGAGAGACCCACACCUGUGGCUGUGGGUCAGGAAGAAGGCCAGGACCAUCCGCAGACGUUGCUGGAACCCCUUCGAGGAGAGGCUGAUCUGCCAACCUGCGGGCAAAAUCACGGUCUCUGUACACCGAUGCCAAGGAGAAACAGGGAACAGAAAAAGUAGCUUUAAUGUCCAGGCAAAGAGGGGGACACAGCUGGCUAGUGACUCAAGGACAGUCCCCCUCCUCCCUCACCUUGGAGGGGCUGGCGAGGACUCCUGCUGGUUCAGGGAGCGGGGCGUGGUCAGCUCCUGGGCGUUUCCUGAUUGGCGGGUGGUGAGGUCGUCGGGCGUCAGCAUCAUCCACCUGCUGGUUCCCACCGCUCCGGGGUCUCCGAGCUUGCGGGCAGCACACAGUUGACUUCGCCCCCAUGGUGGGGCUUCAGCGCCUGCAGCGCAGCUCCAGGGACAGGGUAUUAUCUGUGGCCCUUGCGGAAGAACUGAAGGCCCUUGCUUUGUUGAAUGGCUAAACCAUCAUUGUCUUGCUUGAAUGUUUUCCUUUAUUUUCUCACUUCUGAUUGAAUUGGUUCUCUGAAGUUUUGUAUCCCUAAAAAGGCAGCUGGAGAGCAUGAGUGGGAGUCUGCUCUGGGAAGGCCUUGCGGGGUCCUCUUGGUUAAAAGCCCACAGCAAUCUUGAGGCCCAGACGCUGCCAUCGAAUCCUGAGGAACUCUCUGGUCUGGCCCAUCCCAUCCCGUCCAUCAAGCAUCUGCCGCCAGCACGGCCUCGGGCCAGUGUGUGGUGUUCGGACCACCAGGUCAGGCUCCUGCAGCGCCAGCCUCCCCCUUCUCACGGCCAGGCAGGCAUGGUGUUUCCCUCUGGUACGGGCUCGGUCCCCUCUGUUGGUCUGUCACAGCCCACACAGAAGCCCUCGCUGAAUUCGGCCAGCAACGCCCGUCUUCACUAAGCACGGACCGUGAAACCAGGCAGGGCCCUGUGGGCUCCUGGGCACACAAGCCUUUCUGCAUCCCCCGUUUCUUACUUUUUAUGGACUAGGUCUCGGCCUCCAAGGCCUUCCCCAGGCUCCAAAGGGCAGGUUCAGACAGUCGCUCGUCAGGGCAGGGAGAGGAUGUGGAGAGCGGGGGGGGAGCCGUCGGGAGACAGUAGCACAGCCUGGGGGCAGGUCCUGGUUCCUCCUCUAGGAAGACACAGAACAGCAGCUUUGAGUUCUUCUGCCGAACUGUAACCCCCAGCAAAUGGAAACCAGAGAGGAGGACCCCCGGAACCAGUCCCGGGGCCACCCAGCCCCAGCUCUGGAGAAGACUGCAAGCCGGCAUCCACCCAGAUCUGUGGUCCUUUUUCUACUCCCAAACUAUAGAACGACUUCCUAGUCUCUCCUAAAGGGUGGCACAGCCUUUGGGGCAUUAGCCCAUUGUGGCUGCCCUUGCCUGGCAAAGAAAUGAAAGCGAUUUUUUUUUUCUCCUUAGCUCGGAACCGUUUCCACAUUAAUCUGGUACUAGUAGCUGAGUUGGUGGUGAAUUUUGGGGGCUUGUCCGGCCUGGCCUCGUGGGCGGCUGACCCUGUGGGGCACCUCGGCUUGAUGGUUGCUCUGGGGUUUCUCUCCUUUGGGAGAGUGGAGGGUUGGAGGAGGCUUCCAGAGGCCAGGUCGCCAGGGGUCCCCCCUAGAGCCAUGCCCUGAUCAUACCCGCCCUGCCAUCUCUGGGGUGGGAGCAGGUAACAGGAGAGAGGCAAGGCCGUCACCCAGCCCACACCGACCCAAAGCUCCUGCUCGGAGAAAUCAUCUGGGGGAGAAGAAAAGCAGAGUCUGGGGAUGUCGGGACAUCUCUGCCAGCGUCUGGCUGACUUUGGGAUGCUUCAGAGGCCCCGAGGUGUCUCAGGAGUGGUGGAAGGGGAGAGAGCUGCACUCUUUGGACCAUGACUUCCGUGAACUGGCUUCUGUGCCCCUGCAUUUCAAACCUGGCCCUCUCCCUGCUUGCACAGGACAAAGGCCUACUUCAGGGCCUUCUCUGGUCCUGUCCCCCAGGUCCAGGCUCCUAGUGAAUCAGCUCGGAGAGGAGCAGACCAGCCAUGGGAGUGAGCCUGGAAGGCGUCGUCUCCCAGUCAUCUUCUCAAUCAGCGGAAAAAAAUGAAAUUCAUGUCUGUCUGCAAAGAAAUGAGUGGAAAUGAAACGCGUUGUCAGUGCUGAGCUGUCGUGAUGACGGCCUGGGCCUGGUGUGAUGUGGCUGGUGACUGCAGAUACCAAACACCCCCUGCACCCCGGGUCUCCUGAGCACCCCCAAGCAGGACACUCGUCCUCGCUGCCCCGCAGGGAGGUAACCAGCACUAUUACCCACUUCAUGGACGCAGAAGUUGAAAAACAACGUGGGGAAGGAGCGCCCCCAAAGCCACCCAGCCAGAGCAAAGCCUGCGCUUGCCCCGGGGCAUGUGGCUCGAGUUCCUGUUGCCCACACACUGUCAGCCUGGCUCUCGUGCCCACAGGGCCUCCUCACGGAGACGGUGCAGACACCGCAGUUCAGCUCCUAAAUGAAGACGGGACCCUCAGGUGUUUCAACCCCCCCAGUAACUGUGAUUUCACCCGAUUUAACAUGUGUCAGUGCAUCGCUUUCCUGCCAGUGUCCUCCUGGAUGCGCUGGCAUUUGUGAAGGCCCACCGAGGCUGGCCACGCAUGGUCUCGGCUGUCACCCAUGCCAAUGGGGAGAUUUUGUGUUUUCCCCCAAGUACGUGGACAGUAGGACACAACUCAAGCUGAGAAGCGGAUGAAAUGGCCUAAUGUGUAAAUGUUUCUGAAAACAGACCCCUGGUGGUGGGUGGCCAGCACGUGGCAGCUGCCGUGAGCUCUCCCUUCCCUGAUCCCGGAGAACGUUCGCGACGUGCCCGGUCACCGAAGGGCUGCUCCUAAGUGCCCAUCACCUUCCUGCUGUUUCCCAGGCAGUGACUUGUGCCAUCUUUGCCGACACUUGCUGACCCGGCCGCCGUGUGCUCACCGAAAGUCACCUCUAAGGGAAGCCUCUCGACGGUCAAGGUCUCCGUGCCUUUUUCCUCCCAUGGGGCUCCUCCAGUUUCGGAGGAUUAGAGCCGGAAUCGCCUGGGACCGAAUAGCUAGUUCAAUAAACUGCCUAAGAGAACCAUCCUGCCCUUUCUCUUCCUAUCUGCUUCCUGGCUUGCGUUUCUGCGCCGCCGUCCCAAUCAAUGCUGCUUUCUUGGUAAUUAAAGGCUCCGGGGCUCGGAGGUGGGCCUCCUGCAGGACCCUUUAUCUGCAGAGACCUGGCCCUGCGCCUUUGCCUCCACUGCCCUUGACUCUGUGGCCACGGCCGGCAAUCGCGCUGCUCUCUGCCCCAAAUCGACGGCUCUGUCGGGUGGACUCUUUAAAGGAUCUCUGCUCAUGCGGUUCCGGCGGCCCACCCUGGGCAUCGCUGCUGACUGUGCCUGCUGGUUUGCGUUUCUUCUCUUCGUGCUGAACUGAAUCCCCUUCAACCCAUCGUCAGUCUUUUCUGGACACAUCAUUCCCCUUGAAUUAUGUUCACCUGUCUGUCAGCUUCUGACAGAGUGACUCCAGAAAAUACUCUUCAGUUUCAGAAGCUCCUGCUCUAACGCUCCCUUUCCUUUGAUCAGUAUCUGCAUGAAAAGUGAACAUGUGACAUGUGCUGCAUGACAGCACACAUGUGACGAUGUGAUUAGAAAUAUCCCAACACGCUAUGACAAUAAGCUGCCUGCCUUUACAUCUGCUGCAGAAAGCCAGCUCUGUAGUUGCAUGCAGGUCAUAAGUAACUUGAGAGACCUUGGAAGGAGCUGGAAAAUACUUGGCCUGCUUCCUCAGACACCUCCACUCGCUGAGGCUGGAAGCUUUGCUAUAAAUCGUGCAAAAUGGCAGCAAGAGGUGACUGAGCCGCGGGGAAGCCCAGACUCCACUUCUACACAAUGGCCUCGGAGCCCGCCAGCGGGAUGCGUGGGGGAGAGGAACGAGCGCGGAAGAGCAACGAAGCCGGAAAAGGAACCGUGUGGUUUUCAAGACUGUCCUGUGAUGAAAAGGCCUUCAUAGUGGCUCAGCGACAGCAGUGCCAGUAGCCGGCCACUGCUCCGACUACCGCUGUCACCAUCACCCACUGGCAACUGACAGUCGCCUCCUUCGGCAGAAACCACCAACCAUGGACCGUUACCAGCCACCACCUCCUACGGAGCGACUGCAAACCGCUCUCCCCAUUGACCACGGACCACCCUCCCACUUCCCACAACCAGCCACCACGCGUUCCCGCAUCGCCACGACCGACCACGACUGUAACGGCCCCUCACUUGGUGGGAGUCCGUGGGGGGGGCUCGGGUGGUAGAAAGCCAGGCUGUUGGGCGUUGACAACCAAAGCUAACAAGGAGUUAAAGACCAAACGUGUAGAGACGCUAAAGUCGGUGUAGACCCUGCUGGCUCCAUGCUGAAAUCAAAAGCCUUUUCACCACACCAGCUGCCACGGCCUUAUUUUUUCAACAGGCACUACCAGUAUUCAGUGAGGAGUUCAGCAUACAGCUCCAGAAAAUAGCAGUGAAAUGAAGGGGCGGCCAAGAGUGGCGGCCCCUGCAGCUCGGGCUGGAGUCUGGCUUAUCCGGAAGGAUGUGUGAAGACCUUUCUGGAAAGCCCGCUCGCGAAUGUGGUCGGUGUCUGUCUAGUGCCCGGAGUUUUACAGACGCCACGUUGCCGGUUCUGCCAGUGACUGAGUGAGAGGCUGUUGAGACAAAUGAUGAGUGUUUUUGAUGAUACAUGCAGGAUUUUGGAAGAGUCCACACGUGUGACUGCUGGCGACACAGAAACAGAAAAAAGAUAUUCUCAACAUAAACCAGGGCAAUUCAAUAUGUGGCCUUGGAAUUGACCCCAAUGGUGGAAGUUUAUAGGUUCAUUCAAUGUGGUUAAAAGCAAAAGCUUGCUCAGUUGUGAAGGGUUAAUGAUGAAGAUAAGGAAACCUCAGUCAUGAGACACAGCGAACGAAAAUGGUCUUAAAAUCGUGCCCGAAAGACAGUGGUUUAGUUCAUAUUGAAAGACUGACCUCAUGCUGGCAGCAGGGCGCACUCAAACUGCGUCUGAGUGAUGCUAGGACCAGGGCGCAGGCUGUGUGGACCCGAAUGAGAAGGGGGAAACCGCAAGAGGAUAUCCAUGACUGUGUUUUGUGCUUAAGUAAAAACUAUUAAGGGGCCAAAUCGUAAUGACCCUCUCUGGGGGAGUCGACGUUCCUGACCACGGAAAGCAGAGAACUUUCCGGAUUCCGACCUGCAGCGUCCGGGGCGGUGGAGGCCUGGGCAAGCCUGGGUCCUCUGUGGGGCUUCUCUCCCCAGUUCAGAGUGAUGAUCUGGGUCCGGCUGUUGCUGCGUUACCUCCCAUGGGGCGGAUGCGUCUCACCUCCAGGAACUGUAAAGCUGCUGGGAAUUCCUAGUCGCCGAAUGGACACGGGCCAGUAUUCACUGGAGCCUGUCUGGGUCCAUCCCCAUGGAGGCCUAGACAGCAGAGACGACGUGAAUGUGGGCUUUGUGGGCAGAGUAGACGGAUCAAACCCUGGCCCCUUCAUUUAGUAUCUGCAUGACUGUGGACAACUACUUCAGUCCCCCGCCAGCUGCAGCGUGUGAACAGCCAGAAAUCUCAUUUCCAGGCCAAAUGCACAAAGCCCAGGUCUCAGUUUUGUUGCAGUGAGGUGGGCGAGGUGAAUGGUGCUUCUGUGUGAAAGCUGUGUGUUCUCUACGCGGAGUCUAAUCCAGGUUACUCAUUCUCAAAAUCAAAUGACAGCACACACAGAAGAUAACUAAUGUUCUAUAUAAUUCCGUCACUUAAUGGUUGGAAUUUGUAUUUGUUCAAAUUUUUGGUCCUAAGUAAAGUCUGAAGCCAUUAAGACGUUUUUCACCUGCCGAAACGAUUAAACUUUGUGUUUUUCGUGAUCCUAUUAGACACAUCCUUAAGGUUUAUUCUGACAGAAUAGGAUGUAAACUAGCUUAGCUGUUGUCAACGCCAUGUCUUAAGGGGAGAAUUUCUUUCAUUGUAUUAUUUCCUGCAUUAGUUCCAGUGCACUUCUUUGUAAACUUAAGAUUAUAAAGUUAAAAAAAUUGUCACAGUCUCUAAAGAAAAGAUGCAUUUCGGGCUAUAUCAAAUUGCUCUAGACUUGGUAUAUAAAUAUCUUCAUGUAUGUACCUACCUCUCUAUCUAAUCUUUAAAUGUAAAACUGUAGAUACAAUUUUCUUUGGAAGAGUUGGAUCUUCAGCUGAGUUUGUAAAGAAGAAAAAAGCCAAUUGUGGAAAAUGGAAUACUGGUUGUCAAAUAAAAUAAGGCUCCAUCUUCCAGAAAGCACUGGAGGGACACUUUGUGGUUGUACCUUCUUCAUUCUCCUUCCUUAUCAGGACGAGAGUUGCAUCUAUCACUUCUGAGAGGAAUGGAUUUAUUAUAACAUUUAUUACACGGGAUUUUACUGUUUUCAAAAUUUAAAGAAGUGCCAAGUUAAAGUGAGGCUGAGGUCUGGCCGCACAGAAAGACUCAUUAAGUGGUUCUUCUUAAUCUGUGGCCCAAUAGCUAGUCCUAAAUCCUCCGUUUUCUCUGGGAUGUUCUGUUUCCGGCUGCGCGUAGAGUGACCCCUGUUUGUCGCGAGCACCUUCCCUCUCACCCCAGUUCCCCAGCAGUGAUUUUCUUCUCAUCAGGAUCGGUUUUCGUUGUGCCAUGGCCCAAGUUUUAUUUCAAGUGACAGUCUUGAGCAGUGGUAUUCAAAAUCAGAAUUAUUUCCUUCGAGGAUCUGUUCGUGGCCAAUUAAACCCGGGGAUGACUUCGUGGGAUUCUGCCUUCAUUCAGAAACAUCCUCUCUGAGUCCCCUGGGUGGCUGCUUCCGUCUUUGCCGCAGGAGCAGACGUGCAAAGGGCUUUUCCUGGUCUACUCUAAACGGAGUCGGUGCUGCAUGUAAAUCCCCACCAACAGAGACAAAUAUUUUCAAAGACCAUCUCUGCGUGGUGUUAAAAACCAACCCCUGUCUCCGCAUCUUCCGGCCAGUGCUUUCAAAUAAUUGUCGCCUGGGCUCCUCAGCCACACCGUGUUCCUUAUAUCUUGGAAGUUUUUUAAAUUUACAAUAAUAUGCCAAUUCCUGUUGUAUAGCAAAGUGACUCGGUUAUACCUAAAUAUCCCAGGAAGCCGGGUAUAGUUCCCUGUGCUAUACAGUCAGCAAAAGUCUUAAACUAGUGGAUUUAUCACCAAAUUUUUUUUAAAAAGUCAACCACCACUUCAUUGACCUGUAAUGUCUUUAAUGAUAUAAUGUGAAGAUGAAUUACAGCUCUUGGAAUGGAAAUUGAAUUUCUCCAGAAACAGAAUUGAGAGACUUCCACGUGGGAAUUUUGUGGAAUUGCAGAUACUUAUCUUAAGUUUGAUCCCUAAACUUCUCUUUUAAUAGCAAGAAAUCCUGUCUUAAUUCAGGCGCUGUAGGGGCCAAGAGACGUGCCUGCCUUCGCUAAACUUAUCCGUUCUCUUUCUGUCCUCACCUGCCUGCUAUGAAAUGCAGCUACCCAGGGCCAUGGGUGCUUAAUUAAAUUCAGCUCAUUUCGAAAUUAUAAUUAUUUUGACAAUGAUGCUUCAACUGACAAACAAUGUUGAGGUCAAGUGGAUACUAUCUUAAAGCCCAGCUAACUGAGGGUUAUUGCAUAAAUAAUUCACAGGAAACUGAAUCUGGGGACAAUAAAGCUAGUUUAUAGUAAAUGGGACCUGAAAAUUAUAAGAAAUGUAGGAGUUCCCAUGGUGGCUCAGUAACAAA